GGCCAGGUAGCUCAGUUGGUACGAGCAUCCGCCUGAAAAGCGGAGGGUCGCCGGUUCGACCCCGGCCCUGGCCACCC
rnacentral:tRNA from 1 species